UAAAAAAUAAUUUUUUAUCUGUAUUCACUCAACAAUCUAUACAAUUAAACUCAAAGUCAAGAAGCAAGAUAUAAAAUCUUUAGAAUUAAACAGCAUACAGGAAACAUGAAUAACGUAAAUAAUCGUACAUACAAAUAAAUCACAGGAUAUGUCCGAAAUUUACGGGUUCUUCCUUGUAGGGAGGAGCAAUAAGGGUACCAAAGGCUGAGAUCCUCCUUGUCGAUGAUGUUGA
rnacentral:lncRNA from 1 species